rnacentral:rRNA from 1 species
AUUGAACGCUGGCGGCAGGCCUAACACAUGCAAGUCGAGCGCGAAAGUUCUUCGGAAUGAGUAAAGCGGCGGACGGGUGAGUAAUACAUGGGAAUCUGCCUGGUAGUGGGGGACAACGUUUCGAAAGGAACGCUAAUACCGCAUACGCCCUACGGGGGAAAGGGGGGAUCGCAAGACCUCUCGCUAUCAGAUGAGCCCAU